GCAUUCGAUACGGGCGAGCUUGAGUAUGGUAGGGGAGUCUGGAAUUCCUGGUGUAGCGGUGGAAUGCGCAGAUAUCAGGAGGAACACCAAUGGCGAAGGCAGGANUCUGGGCCAUUACUGACACUGAGGAGCGAAAGCGUGGGGAGCGAACAGGAUUAGAUACCCUGGUAGUCCACGCCGUAAACGGUGGGCACUAGUUGUGGGGACCUUCCACGGUCUCUGCGACGCAGCUAACGCAUUAAGUGCCCCGCCUGGGGAGUACGAUCGCAAGAUUAAAACUCAAAGGAAUUGACGGGGCCCCGCACAAGCAGCGGAGCAUGCGGCUUAAUUCGACGCAACGCGAAGAACCUUACCAAGGCUUGACAUAUACAGGAAUAUGGCAGAGAUGUCAUAGCCGCAAGGUCUGUAUACAGGUGGUGCAUGGUUGUCGUCAGCUCGUGUCGUGAGAUGUUGGGUUAAGUCCCGCAACGAGCGCAACCCUCGUUCUGUGUUGCCAGCAUUAAGUUGGGGACUCACAGGAGACUGCCGGGGUUAACUCGGAGGAAGGUGGGGAUGACGUCAAAUCAUCAUGCCCCUUAUGUCUUGGGCUGCACGCAUGCUACAAUGGCUGGUACAAACGGCUGCGAUACCGCAAGGUGGAGCGAAUCCGAUAAAGCCAGUCUCAGUUCGGAUUGGGGCCUGCAACUCGACCCCAUGAAGUCGGAGUUGCUAGUAAUCGUAGAUCAGCAACGCUACGGUGAAUACGUUCCCGGGGCUUGUACACUCCGCCCGUCACGUCACGAAAGUCGGUAACACCCGAAGUCAGUGGCCCAACCGCAAGGAGGGAGCUGCCGAAGGUGGGAUCGGUGAUUGGGACGAAGUCGUAACAAGGUAGCCGUA
rnacentral:rRNA from 1 species